GAUGAACGCUGGCGGCGUGCCUAAUACAUGCAAGUCGAGCGAACAGACGAGGAGCUUGCUCCUCUGACGUUAGCGGCGGGCGGGUGAGUAACACGUGGAUAACCUACCUAUAAGACUGGGAUAACUUCGGGAAACCGGAGCUAAUACCGGAUAAUAUAUUGAACCGCAUGGUUCAAUAGUGAAAGACGGUUUUGCUGUCACUUAUAGAUGGAUCCGCGCCGCAUUAGCUAGUUGGUAAGGUAACGGCUUACCAAGGCAACGAGGCGUAGCCGACCUGAGAGGGUGAUCGGCCACACUGGAACUGAGCCACGGUCCAGACUCCUACGGGAGGCAGCAGUAGGGAAUCUUCCGCAAUGGGCGAAAGCCUGACGGAGCAACGCCGCGUGAGUGAUGAAGGUCUUCGGAUCGUAAAACUCUGUUAUUAGGGAAGAACAAAUGUGUAAGUAACUAUGCACGUCUUGACGGUACCUAAUCAGAAAGCCACGGCUAACUACGUG
rnacentral:rRNA from 1 species